AUUUCAGACAAGAUUUUAAAAAUUAACCUAAUAAAAUACAUGUUAUGUGUGUAAUUUUCAAUAUAUCAGCAUUUUAAAGUUCACUAAACAUGCAUUGAGACACACAAUUUUAAAAUUGACAUUGUCUGACACAGUAUAAUUAAUGAUUAAUACUGACUGUGCAAAUAUUAAUUAUGAUGAUUUUUUUCUAAGCAUCAUCCUAAGGACCAGUGCAAGUUGAAAUGGGCUUCCAGCCAACAACUUCAACAGCAAUUUGCCAUGAAAAUCAGCAAGAAAGGUACUUCAUUUACAUUGAUGAUGUCAUAUCCCCUGGACCCCACAACUUUACAGGUUACAGAGAAAAUUCAAGAACUUCUGCAAAAUGUGGGACUUGGAUAGAAUCAAUAAUGUAUUUGUGAGCCCAGAGCAAUGGAUAUAUUGUGCAACAUACUAAAGUGUGAAUUUAAUGGAAAACAAGUACAUGUACUCAUGUAUUACAUGUCUUUUUUAAAGACAAUAAUAUUGUAUAAAUAUA